GAGAAAAUGAAGAGAAUGUAAAUAAGAAUGAGAAGCUGAGGUCUUCUAAGAGUGUAUGUAUGUAUAGUAUUAAAUAUAAAAUAUUCCUCAUGGCUAGGUGAUCACUGUAGGUCCCUUCCAACUGAAAUUUUCUGUUAUUUCUAUUCUAUUCUAUUAUGUUCUCUUCUAAUUCUGUUCAGAUGAAACUGCAAGCUUUUGAUGUCUUUGAUGCUUUCUCCUUGUAUUUUGCAUUUAUCACAGCUAGGCACCAGGGAGCAUAAGAAGUAGUAAGAGGUGUGAUAGCUGAAGAGGCAGUAGUGUAAGCCCAGACUAGCUUUGCUAGGAUCCACUGGACAAGCUUUCUUGCCUUCAUUAAAUAGUCCAGAUCUCAUAUCCCCUAAUUAUGGCAGUGCUCCUGAACACAGGCUUUCUCUAUACUAUGUAGUAAAUAGGGUUACAAGGACAAAUUAAUUUUUGGUAGAACUUCACCGUUACAAAGGAAUAUGAGGAUAGAGGAACUGAAUUCAAGGUUCUAGAUGUUUCCUAUUGCUGACAGAUGAUGUACCUUCCUCAACUGUAAAUUUUAAUUAGGUUCUGGGCUUUUCACUGCAUGCUGAAUAGAUUUAACAUAAUGUAACAUUACACUGUUCUAUUUAUUCCAGAAUGAAGAAACUUGGGUUUAUGCUCUUGGUAUUUCUUAAUGUUAGGGAAUAAAAUUCAGAUGCUUACCCAAUUUCAAACAUUACUAGAAACACAUACUGUAUGCUUAAAUUAAAGAUGUAAAGUCUUUUCUUUCUGCCCAUGAAUCAUAUUCAUCUUGAGCUGCUAUAGCCUCUGAUGCUUAGGAAAGGGCAAUAUGUUAAUUUUGUUAUCUUAGGACUAUAAUUCUAAAUGUAAAAUGUAACCUUAUCCGUUAACUAAAAAGCAACUGUCAUGGCAUUCUGGCAUUUAAAACCUAAAUCUUUAAUAUUAUCUGUGCUUAAGGAAACAGCCUUUUGCCAACCACUAUAGAAGUAUUUGCAUCUGAUUUACUUUAUAUUUGAUUGAAAGUUUAAGUAAAUCCUCAAAUAUUUUGGUAUAGCAGUUCUGAGAUGUGGAAAAUAAAAUCCCCUGUGGCAUUUAGCAGGAUUUCUUAGAGUUUCAACUGAAGUAGACAUUUAAUUGACAGCAGAUUAUUUUAUUGUUAUUUGUUCUUGUUAUCUAUGUAUCCAUAAAUAAUUAAAAUGAUGCAUUCUUAAAUAGUUAUGUUGUUUUGGCUCAAUAGAGGAUAUUUCCCCUGUGCUCCUUCUUGGAUUUAGUCUUUCAUGUGGAGUAGUGAGACUGUUUUUGGCUGAGGUACUGGAUCAGAUUCCUUUCAAAACUACUGUAUUUGCUACAACCUCGUUGUAAAGGGCAAAUCAGUUAUGCUUUUUUAGUCCGCAGUUUUGUAUUGAGCAGACAGAAGAAGAAACUGGUGCUUGUCUGCUUUCUACCUGCCAUGCCAGUCUCUCCAUUCACUCAGUUAAUUGACAGACAGCAAAUGCUCACCUGGAUGAUCUUGUUCUUGCCUGAUGUGCCUGAGUAUCAAUAAGGCGAUGGCCAUUGGCUUCGUAAUACAAAGUCAGCAUGAGGGCUGGCUUUUAAAGCAAUCCUGCCAUUCCCACAUUCAGUCUUGUUCAUCGUCAGAAGGCUCACCAGCCCCUAGGGAUCUUUUUUGAUGUGACUGUUUUUUUGAGACUGUGUGGUGAGGCAAAUCCAAGUCUUGAUCUAGCUUAAAAAUGAAAUCUGUGAACAAUGUAAGCAUUUCACCUCUAGGUAAUGCAUACCCUCAAUCUAGAGUGGAGUUUUAGUGUUUGCAGAAAUUAAUGGAUUUGUUUUUCUGUAUCUAAUACUUAAUUGGUGGGGUAUUUUUCUUUGGUUUUGGUUGGUUGUUUGGGAUUUUUUAAUUAUCAUUUUACUGGGAAUUGCUUUCUUUGCGCCUUUUUUUCCUCAUUCACCUAAUUGUAUUGAAUGUUUGUCAGCAAUAGGAUUUGAGUUCAGACAACUACUUUAGCUAAGAAGGACAACAGCAGAGGAAAUCUAUGUUUUGGAAAAACAACAAGGAUUUCUGCUGCUGUUUGAAAAGGAGGAAGAUGAGUUUGGGGGUUUCUUUUUGCUUUAUUUCACAAUCUAAUCACUGUUUAAUAUCUGUUGCAGUGCAACAUAUGCAAUAUGUUAUUAUACCAAUACUAUUACCACAUUUGUAUGUGGUAAUUUUUAGCCGGAUUAUUCCUCCUGGUGAAACUUUUUCAGGUAACUAUAAAAAAAAAAAUGUUUCUUGAACACAUAUGGUGAUGUAUGCAGUUUCUUUCUUUUAGCUGUGAAUUCUGAGAGCAAACAGGAUUUCUUUUACCUGCAUUAAAUGUAAAUGUGUGUGUAUGUGUGUCUCUGCAAGCCAAAUUGCCAGACAAGAAAUGCCCUUUUUUGGGUUAAAAUUUUGUGGGAAAUUUAAUGAUAGCUUUCAAAAUACAGUUAGGAAAAUUGGUCAGACAUUUCUGCUGGCAGGCUAGAGACAGUCAUCUAUAUUACUUUGGUGUUAAUGCUGGAAAUACAUUAUUCAUCUCAAUUCAUCCUUUGCUGGCAGUUGCAAUUUUGAUUACUAUCAUUUUUACCUUGAAUUUGACCGGUUGUGCUUAUGACCUGCUUGUGAAUGGUAUUCAGGUUGUUUAUACUUCUGGUGGUAUGCUGGAUUCAGCCAGCAUUGGUCUCAAAAUAGUCACAACUCCAAGCACUAUCCUUACCAUAUGGUUUGCAUUAUACAUUGUGUAGUUCUACUAUGUUGAAUUGUAUCAAAAAAGUGCACCUCUUGAAUUAGACUCCAAGUAUAGCCAUGGGAA
rnacentral:lncRNA from 1 species